UGGGGUAUAUUGGACAAUGGGCGAAAGCCUGAUCCAGCCAUGCUGCGUGUGUGAAGAAGGCCUUCGGAUUGUAAAGCACUUUAAGUUGGGAGGAAGGGCAGUAAGCGAAUACCUUGCUGUUUUGACGUUACCGACAGAAUAAGCACCGGCUAACUCUGUGCCAGCAGCCGCGGUAAUACAGAGGGUGCAAGCGCUUAUCGGAAUUACUGGGCGUAAAGCGCGCGUAGGUGGUUCGUUAAGUGGAAUGUGAAAGCCCCGGGCUCAACCUGGGAACUGCAUCCAGAACUGGCGAGCUAGAGUAGGGCAGAGGGUGGUGGAAUUUCCUGUGUAGCGGUGAAAUGCGUAGAUAUAGGAAGGAACCCCAGUGGCGAAGGCGACCACCUGGGCUCAUACUGACACUGAGGUGCGAAAGCGUGGGGAGCAAACAGG
rnacentral:rRNA from 1 species